UACGUAGGGUGCAAGCGUUAAUCGGAAUUACUGGGCGUAAAGCGUGCGCAGGCGGUUUUGUAAGUCUGUCGUGAAAGCCCCGGGCUCAACCUGGGAAUUGCGAUGGAGACUGCAAGGCUUGAAUCUGGCAGAGGGGGGUAGAAUUCCACAUGUAGCAGUGAAAUGCGUAGAGAUGUGGAGGAACACCGAUGGCGAAGGCAGCCCCCUGGGUCAAGAUUGACGCUCAUGCACGAAAGCGUGGGGAGCAAACAGG
rnacentral:rRNA from 1 species